UACGAGGGGGGCAAGCGUUGUUCGGAAUUAUUGGGCGUAAAGGGCGCGUAGGCGGUUUGACAAGUCUUAUGUGAAAUCUCUGGGCUCAACCCAGAGUCUGCAUGGGAAACUGUCGGGCUUGAGUAUGGGAGAGGUGAGUGGAAUUUCCGGUGUAGCGGUGAAAUGCGUAGAUAUCGGGAGGAACACCAGUGGCGAAGGCGACUACCUGGCCUGUUCUUGACGCUGAGGCGCGAAAGCUAGGGGAGCAAACGGG
rnacentral:rRNA from 1 species